GCGUGCGGCGGCGGCUCAGUAGCAGCAGCAGCAACAGUGCGGCCAGGAGGCCGAGGAGCGCGGCCCAAGCCAUCGCGGGGCUGGCGGGGCUGGCGGGGCUGGCGGGGCUGGCGGCCUGGCCCACUCCCAGGCUGACAGGACAUCCAACCCUCUGGCUAUGGCAUCUUGGAGGAACAGGCAGGCCUUGAAAAUAGCAGAAAUUCCGAAUUCCCCUGCCCCGGGAGGACUCAAAGGACCCUGCUGAGGACAGAGCUGAUAUGGCCUCAGAAUAAAGAUGAGGGAAGACCAUCCCAAGGAAGACCCCUCUAGCCCAUGGCAAAAGGGCUGGAAUACGCAAGGAUUUGAAAAGCAAGUUUUGCUUUCCAUAUAAACCUAAGCAAGUCGCUUAAUCUGUGAGCCUCAACUACUUUACUUGUGCAAUGGGCAUGUUGCUGGUAGUGGUGAUAGCAGGGAGCCACCGAGAGAGCUUCCAAGUGUGCCAUCUAAGCCCUCCUCUGGGGAAGGGAAGCUCCUCUGGGGAAGGGAAACUGGACCCCCGGGAAAAUUUAUUCUCCCAGGGACGAACAUCCAGACAUUUCCCUGUAGGAGCCUCAGUGUGUUCAGAUGUUCACUGUCCAGUAGAAACAAGACAUCUAGGCAACUCUCCCAUCUCACCAAGCCUCUGCUCUCUUCUGUGGCCACUGUGGGGUUGUGAGAGUAAUGUCAAGACCCAACCCAAUUAGAACACAGGGAAUUUUGCCUGGGAAAGGGAGCCCUUCUACCCUACACCCCUGCUUUCUCUCUUCCAAGGAUCAGGUCUGAUUCAUGUCUGCAUCCUAAAGGCUACAAAUAAACUGUGUCCGGAAAGGAAAA